rnacentral:rRNA from 1 species
CACGUAGGGGACGAGCGUUGUCCGGAUUCAUUGGGCGUAAAGCGCGUGUAGGCGGCCAGGUAGGUCCGCUGUGAAAACCCGAGGCUCAACCUCGGGACGUCGGCGGAAACCAUUUGGCUAGAGUCCGGAAGAGGAGAGUGGAAUUCCCGGUGUAGCGGUGAAAUGCGCAGAUAUCGGGAAGAACACCCGUGGCGAAGGCGGCUCUCUGGGACGGUACUGACGCUGAGACGCGAAAGCGUGGGGAGCGAACAGG